AUUGAACGCUGGCGGUAUGCUUAACACAUGCAAGUCGAACGAUGAGAAAGAGCUUGCUCUUUCGAUUAGUGGCGGACGGGUGCGUAACGCGUAGGAAUCUACCUAUUAGUGGGGGACAACUUAGGGAAACUUAAGCUAAUACCGCAUACGCCCUACGGGGGAAAGAAGGGGAUCGCAAGACCUUUUGCUAAUAGAAGAGAGGCCUGCGUCCGAUUAGCUAGUUGGUGGGGUAAGAGCCCACCAAGGCGAUGAUCGGUAACUGGUCUGAGAGGACGACCAGUCACACUGGGACUGAGACACGGCCCAGACUCCUACGGGAGGCAGCAGUGGGGAAUAUUGGACAAUGGGGGCAACCCUGAUCCAGCGAUGCCGCGUGAGUGAAGAAGGCCUUCGGGUCGUAAAGCUCUUUAGGUUGGGAAGAAGUGUUGUUGUUGAUAACGCAAUGACAUUGACGGUACCGACAGAAUAAGCACCGGCAAACUCUGUGCCAGCAGCCGCCGUAACAC
rnacentral:rRNA from 1 species